GGAAUAACACUCCGAAAGGUGUGCUAAUACCGGAUACGCUGAGAAAUCAGGAAAGGUGGCCUCUUCAUGAAAGCUACUGUAUCAGGAGGAGCUUGCGUACCAUUAGCUAGUUGGUGGGGUAAUGGCCUACCAAGGCAACGAUGGUUAGCGGGUCUGAGAGGAUGAUCCGCCACACUGGAACUGGAACACGGACCAGACUCCUACGGGAGGCAGCAGUGAGGAAUAUUGCGCAAUGGGGGCAACCCUGACGCAGCGACGCCGCGUGGAUGAUGAAGGCCUUCGGGUCGUAAAAUCCUGUCAGAUGGAAAGAAAUGUCAUAUGCCUAAUAUGUGUAUGAUUUGACGGUACCAUCAAAGGAAGCACCGGCUAACUCCGUGCCAGCAGCCGCGGUAAUACGGAGGGUGCAAGCGUUGUUCGGAAUUACUGGGCGUAAAGCGCGCGUAGGCGGCUUUUUAAGUCAGA
rnacentral:rRNA from 1 species